AGAAAGGAAUAAAAUUAUAGGAAAAAUAAGAGAUAAUGAUUCCUUAUCAUAUUUAGUGAGGAACAAAUUUGUUUUAUAUUUCUCUACAAUAAAAAGAACAAGUAAGAUUGAUCAAAAAAAAAAAAAAGAACAAGCAAGAAAGAAAAGGAAAAAUUAUUCUUUAUGAAUGGUAAAAUUUCUUAGGAAUAUUAAGUAAUGCAUUGUUCCACUUCACAAAUCAUAUCUAUAUUUGUGGAUUCAAAGACAGAAGUGAGUAAUAAUUUAAGAUUUUUUAGAGAUCCGAUUUUUUCACCGAAUUUCGUCAAUUCGCCACGCUUGAAGACCGGUCGGAUACAGCUUUUCCCGCAAAUUAGGUGGCGCAUUUUAGAAAAGGGAUCUAAUCUAAAUUUUGGAAAUCCAUAUUUAAGAAUCCAAAUUGAUUAGAAAAUUAAUUUUAAAACACACUCACUAAACUCUCAGUAUCUAUACUAUACUAAAAGCAAGAUAACAAGCCCUCUAAGCUAUGCCACAUCAGAUGGAAAAUUCAACCAAUGAAAGAAUAGAAUGCUGCCAUGUCGUAAUAUCUUUGUUGACUGAAAAGAGGAUACUUGGCCUUCCGUGUGGUCUUCAUAAAAUAAAUCAUGGCCCAGGUCAAGCCCAACUUCCCAAAACCUCAUCUCAUCGAUCAAUCCGUCUCUUCCAGUUCGUCUUCAACGUCUCUGUUACUUUCACCCACUCCGGAUCAACCAAUUAGAUCCCUCAAAUCAGCCAUGUCAUUUAGGUGAGCUAAACAUUUUCAGUUUGAUUGCUGAAACGAUUCCUCUUUUUUACUCUACAAAACAUAUUUUAAAUAAAUCUCUUAUUUUUCUUGGCCAAACAAUGAUUAUAUUAAUCAGAACUUAUUCCUUUCUGGGAAUAAUUUUGCAGAGACGAACUGCCUUCCAAACAAACGUAAUAAUUCAGCUUCUCCUUUCUACCCAACCUAGCUAUAUGAACUGAUGGAUGAUUAUCCAGCCGGAUUCAACAUGCAACCAGUGCUCAAAACUGGCCUCAAGCGUCUAUUUGAUCAUCGGCCGUUUACUAAUGUAGUUGUUCAAUUUCUGAGAAACCUUUCCUCGAUGCGAUGGAUCGGAGUACGAGCCAAUUUUCGUUUGUUUAGCGAAGAUUGUUCAGAACUUCGUAGAGGAGAACACCCGGAUAGGCAAACCAAAUAUGGCCGCUACCGCUGCAGUUGGUUCAUCUCAAAUAUGAUUUUCGACACUGGUACUCCCUGUGAUGCAUCCGAUCAUACCUUUUACUCUAGCCUCUUGCUCUCUUUCUCUCUCUCUCUCUCUCUCUCUCUCUCUCUCUCUCUCUCUCUCUCUCUCUCUCUCUCUCUCUCUCUCUCUCUCUCUCUCUCUCUCUCUCUCUCUCUCUCUCUCUCUUGAGUAGUAUAUUAUCCAAAUUGUAAUCUCUAUCUUAUCAGAUUUUGAUUCCAUGCGCGAGCAUCACCGAGAGGAACAUCGUAGCCGACGCGUCUAAGAUUGUAGAGAAGAACAGAUCAGUGAAAUGAAAAGAGGAUAUGAGGAAUAUCAUUAAAGAGUGACUCUUAUCUCUAAACUAUGAUUCUUAAGUCUGCAAGUUGUAAUGGGAAAAGUCUCCUUCUUUCCAAGCUGGUAACAUUUCUUUUCUCAAACCUACUCUUCACCAAAUCUAUGUGACUGAUGAACUAGCACUUGCUAAUUUCAGAUGAAUGAGUACAAGUUUGUUUGACUUAAUGUAUCUUUCGAGUAGAAUUGUGCUUUAGAGUCAUGUGUAUGCUUCACAUUUGUUUCCCUCUUGAAAUAUUUUCAUAGAGUAGUUUUUUUAUUGCGAAAACUCAUUUGUGUUAAAGAAUUGUACAUGUCUAUUGGGUUUUAGGUAAGUGACAAGUUAUUAUAGGGAUAUAUCACACUCUCUUUGUGCAUGAUUGUCUUUCUUUGGUUUAGAGAUACAAUACUACCACUGGCUGUUUUCAUCCAGCUGUCUUACCUUUGGAGUUUUUUCUUUAUAUGUUGGAGUUAGCAUACUCUAUCUCGGUUCCAUGGAAAUUCUAUUAAUGUAAGUUGUGCCUAUCAUGUGUGAAUUAAAAUCUCUGUUUGUAUUUUAAGUUUGAGCUAACAGUUGUCUGCUCCAUAAGUUUUUAAUAGGUGUGUAUCCUAAAUAAUUUUCACUGUGUCCAAAAGCUUCCAGAACAUGUUGUUGUUUCUCUCAUUUGCAGGGAUCAAUUCCUUAUAUCAUGUUUUUGAACAUUACUGUGAACGAUUAGUUUGACCUACUUCCAUUAACUUCUUAGCAAUCAUGAAUAUGUUAGUAUCCCCUGUUGUAGAUAUGGGCUUCCACUGAAGGUGAAAACUUGGGAGUGACAUACACUUAAAUGUUAUCCUCUCAUUGGGUUUUAUAUAUAUGCAUAAUGUAACUAAUGAGUUUUCACCAGCUAAUUGGAUAUAGGGUGCUGGCUCUCUGUUGCGUGCAUGAUGCAGAAGCCAAGCUGGUCCUGCUAUGUUCCUGCUACGUUCCUGCUACGAAAACUGAUAAACCAUUCAGUACCUCACCUGGUUGGGAGGCAAAGAAUCUGCGAAGCUGAUAGAAAAGGAAUUAACAAGAGUGUAAAACCAAGCUAAUAAACUUAAUUUACACAGUCAUGACAUCAUUGUUUACAGUUAUGUUCGUGUACUCAUUGUUUUUUCUUUUAUAUUCAUUUCUUUUUAGUAAUUAAAACAAUUAAGAUAGACAGACCAGAUCUUAACUAAAGGUAUUGUUAUACUGGUUUUAGAUGA